CCGGACCGCAUAGGUGCCCGCGGCGCCCACUACACGCACAGCGGGUCCUGCCCUGCCGGGGGACGCAGGUCCUUGGAGGUGGCCUGGAACAAAGGUUCCCCGGGGCUCGCUGCGGAACCCCCGAAAAUCGAGUCUGCAGGCUGUGGUCGCUGCUCUAUGAAGGAGGCCAAGCCGUCAGCACAGGUGAAAGCGCGGCUUUGAAGACGUGAAUUGGAUGUGGAGAGCUGCAAGGAGAAGGCACCUCAAGGGCAGGAUAAAGCACUGUGCUGUGGAGACAGAUAGGCCAGGCCCAGGCAGAGACAAGGAGAGUCAGACAGGUGUGUCUGCCACGGAGAGCCACGUCUAAACCCUGCUCACAGAGGCAACCCCAGCCUUUGGUCCCUUACCCCGGCGGCCCAACCCUUACUGGCAGGUCUCUCCUACAGGUGGAUGGAACCUCAGUUUUGUACACAAAGGCAGGAGUCUUGCUACCCUUUAAGCAGAAAGAGUGGUUUCUGCCUUAUUGAUAACUCACUCUAUGGCCCAAGAAAUAUUGUGCGACCUCCCUCAGUCUCACCUUCCUCGUCUCUAAAGUGGGAAUGAUGUCACCCACUGUGCUGAGAUGCAGUGCAGCUGAGACUGGCUGAGAUGAUCCAUGUACGGGCUCUAUAGAUAGUUCAGAGACUAAAAUGUUCUACCUAUAGAGAAGGAAGAGGAAAAGUGUAGCAAGUCCCUGUCCGGGAGGAGAGGAAAGCAGAUUCUCAUGUCUGACCUUGGAGAACAGAAGAAGAAAGGAGAGGCAGGGAGGGAUGUGCGCCACCCACAAGGACACAGGGCAGGACCCCUGUGCUGUGCUUGCUGUGUUCUUGGUCCGUGUCUAUCAAGCAAGCCAAUGGAGGAGCCGAGUGCAGAGGGUUUGGGGCUGCCUCCCUUUGGGGGCCUUGGGGGAGCCCCUCCAGGGUGGUUUUGCAGGACCUGCGGAAUGCGGCCACAGCUGGCAUGGUAUCCCUGUUCCCUAGGUCCUCUGGGUGGAGCCCCCCAUGGGAGGGACAUGAAGCAUCAAGACUAACACACACCUGGAUGUGGACUGUGAGGCCAUCCUGGGCAGGGCUGAGGGAACAAAGGCCUUGAACCAGGCUGCAGAUUCCAGCCCCCUCCAAGGCCUCCUAAAGUUACCCUUGUGGUCACCUGCCUCGUGACCAUCCCAUGCCAGCAGCUCAGAACAGACACAGCAAGGUCCCUAGCAAGGACACUCCCACGCUGCCUCUCCUCUCACCACCACCCAGACACCAUCUUGGAGAUCAGCAGUGAGUGGAAAGGGGACUUGGAGUGACUGUGUGUCCACCUGAAUGAUGCAGCGUUUUCUGAGAAGGGGUAUAACCCAGAAAGCUACCGUGAGUGUGGAGGCUGAGGCUUAUAUGGCUCUGGAGACGCUGUUGUGAGUGGCUUCAGACCUGCUGCGUGGACUCAAGGAGAUGGCUUAUGCAGAAGUGCAACAGACACAACCAUGUUUGCAGUAAAAACCCAGGAGCCCUUGGAGCCAAAGCCAAGCAAUAUGGUGUGAAGAUGGAAACAACAAAAACCCUGGACAUUUAAGAAGUUGGCAAAAAUCAUGGGGGCAUGGAGACUCUGACCAAACUCUUAUGUUUUGGAGACAUCCAAUAAAUAGCAAAGGAUACAUGUAAUACUGUUGUUCAGUGUCAGCCAACUUGAAGGACUCCUGCUCUCCCCUCAGUGUGGUUCCGAACCAACCCAGGUGCAGAGGGCAGACAGGCACCUCCUCUAACUGGGUUUGGGGAUGGUGCUGCACACAGCCACCAUCGGUGAGAAGUCUGUCCCCUGGGAGCUGUUCUGCCGUAGGAACUGGGCGUCUCAGGGCCUGAGCGUCAGGUGUUGGGCAAGACAAGCCUUCCCCAGGGCUUUUGCUGUGUUCUGUGGCCUUCUAGAGGACAAGUGGCUUCUGGGUUGACCUUCACUGUCACACGGAGAAAGAAGUACAAAGUAGUUGAGACUUGCCAGGCACCCAUUUCAGAUCUCAGCAACUGUGUGCACUCUGUACCUGUUUCCUCAUCAAUGAAAUGCUGCGAAUGAUAGUCGUCUUAGUCACUUUCUUCAUCACUGUGACAAAAUAACUGAUACCAGUAUUUUAAGGGAGGGGAGAUUUAUUUUGGCUCACACUUCAGUCCAUAGUCAGCUAGUUCCAAAGCAGGAUGGCGUGGCACAGGGCCAUGGUACAGAAACAGCUGCUCACGUCAUGGCAACCAGGGAGCAGAGAGAGAGUCGAAGGAGGAUCAGGCAAGGGAGAUACAACCUUCAAGUCACACCACAGUGACAGCCUCUUCAGCCUGGAUCCCACCUCCUAGCAGUAAGUCGGCUGUAAGUCCCAAGUCAGCUUCCAGAGGUCCUGCCUGUGAGCCCAUGAGACUUUAAGGAAAUAGUGUAAUGGUGAUGUUACAUCAAAAGCUAUACCCAGAGAAAAUUUAACAGCUGCCAAUGCUUGAUUUUAAACAUGAAGGAGUGAAAACAAAUAAAAUUAAACAUUCGGCUUAAAAUCCUAGGGCAAAUUAAUAAGGAUUUUUUACUUUGUACAUGAAAGCUCUCGCACUCAAACUAAGAAGGAAGCACAGGGAAUUCAAAGAAUGGCUCAACGCCCAAAUGUAGAAGAGCAGGGAGCUGCUGGACGGGAGGGAACCUGGAGCAGAGCCUGGGCUCCACCGGCACCUGCACACACUUUGUUUCCUUGCCUUCACCCGUGCCAGCAUCCUCUCUUGCUCACCACUUUCCUUCCUGGGGAAGAACCAGCCCUGGCAGCUAGAGCUAAAACUUCUUUGCCUCCCACUAUAGGGGCUCCAUCCCUCUCACCACUCUGGGGAAGGAACUCUGGAAAGGAAAGGCUGGGGUGACUGCAAUUUGGGUCACAUACUCCCCCCUGAACCAGCCGUGUCAGGGGACAGGUGAGACUGUGGCUGACCCAUCUCAGGAGAGUAGACAGGGACAGGAUCGCAGGAGAAGGACCAGUUCCUGAUGGGAUACUGAGGCUGGAGCCACAAAGAAACAUUGCUCAAAACACUGAGGACACCACUCUAAAAGGACAAGAAGGCCAGGGGAGUACGGAGUCCAAAGAAAUAUUUGUAAAGAACUCCAAGGGCUGAGUCUGCAAAGAACCCCAUGCCUAGGAGUCUAUCUUCCUGUCCAUUUUUACUUCUGGACACUUGCUCCCCUUCCCACAAUAAUUCCCACAAUUCCCAGUAAUAUCCAGCCACUUGUCACUCUCUACAUACUCCUGAUUCCACUCCUGGUGCACUUUUGGUUCCCCAGGACCCAGGGCAAUGGCCUCCUCUUCUGCAGACAUGCCUCCUUCCAUGGAGGAGCCCGAAGCCCUCCCUUCCCAUCAUUGUGACACAGAAUUGAUUGCUCUCUUACCUGUCCAUUCAUCUUGUUACAUUGUGAGUUCCUGCCUUCACCUGCCUGUCCGCCCCCCCCACACACCCCAUCCCCAGCUCAGAGCCAGAUCCAUGUGAACUAUUGUCAUCUAUAUGGAUUGAGUAGUUGAAUAUCUCAUCUCAUUAGACAUCCAUGAUCACAGCCUAUGGUGUUUACAGCCCUUUGUCUCUUUCAUGAGGAGUGACAGGGCUCAUGGGUGUCUUUCUCCACAGGAGGUGACACACUUGCAGUGUCAGAGAAUGCCUCUGACUCUCUCACCUCCCCUGGGCUAUGUUUUUAUUUUCAGUUUCCCACUACAAUUCUGAUUCAUAUCAGAAGAUUCAUCAGUUACUCCUCAAAACGGAAGUACGAACAAAAUAUUCUACUCAAUACUUUUGCCCUAUUCCAUGCAAGUUUUCAUUUUCUCCCCGUCUACCAGAAAGAUGUCAGGGCUCCGUUUGCCAGUAGUGGUCAUAAUAGUGUACAGCGCCUUCUGACUUUCAAAUUAUUUUAACAGUACUAUUCAUCCAGCUCCAGCUUAUUUGAUUUUGGUGUUAUUAGUGAGGAAAUGACAUUCAUGUGAUGUUAUUCAGAUUUUAAUAGCUAACCACUUUCCUGUUGUAUUAAUCUGAUCUGGAAACCAAACUCACAAGUGAGAACAAUCUGUUUUUUAG